UCAAAGCUGCCAUUUCCAGUUUGUUGUGUGAGCAGGAAGCUUCCUUGAGAAGCAGCAUCAGUGGUAGGAACUUGUGGCCACAGUUUGGGUCUGUGAGCUGGGUAACCUGAAUGAAGUCCAGGACCUGCUGCUUUGGGUGAAUGGGUCCCCUCCUGACAGUCACAAUCAGGAGUGAUGCAGAAGCCAAAUAAAUGCCAGUGUGUUUAUAGUUGGGAAUCUAGCACUCAGCGAUUGAGAGGCACAGGAAACAGUCUGCCUCCCACAGGAAAAGUUGUUUGUUGUGCUGGGGUCCAGCACACAUGCAUCUCUACCUCAGUUCUCGAGCCACCACUCUCAUUCCUGCUGUGGUGCUGCUUCCCAGUACCUGAAGCUCAUGAGCCUGGAAUCUGAAGAAAGGGAUUGAAAAUGUUUUUUCCGGUUUCAGCCAGACUGCCUGUGAAUCCCAGUUUGUCAUAGUUGCCAUAAUGCAGACAUAGUAACAAAUUCUUACACUCUGAAGACUACCAUCACUACAACAUCUUGCCAGUUUUUACAUUUGUUGUUGUUGUUGAGGACUUUGCAGUUGAGCAACAUAACCAGAAAGCACGAAAGCAGUUUUCUGCAUUGUAUUUCUAUAAUUGCAUAGCCGCAGCCUCUCAAUAUGGGUUCUGGAUAAAAGCAGUCUUCAAAUCCCAAAUGAGUAAUCCUACCAGUUUCAAAGUAACUCGCUUGAACUCAGUACAGAAGAACAGGUCAUCUCCAUUAAUAUAAAAGGCAAAUAAAAAGGCUUGACUGGUAGGAAGCCUAUCUUCAUGUGG
rnacentral:lncRNA from 1 species